ACUUGCUGAAGUCACGUAUACAAAAUUCAUGAAAGGAGAAAUAUUUAAGAAACUUCAUUGUUUGAUUCUAUAAUUCCCAUUGCCAUAGAAAUUCUAAAAUAUAUCGUGCAUUUUCAAAUGGGGUUUGGUGGUGGGCGCAAAUUACAUGGUAAAACUUUCUCUUUGUAUUAUUGAUGGAGAUCAAGUCAAACUUAAAUUUCUUACUCAGAUACCAGUAUUAUUGUUAUGCUCUGUUGUUGCAGUUGGUGGGGUCAGGUGGAAAAGUCAUGGGGAGUACUGCGAAAUUUUCCUGGACCAUUACCAUUCUACACUAAUUUUGAUUAGGUUAUCUUAAAAGAAAACUUCAUUGUUUAAGAA
rnacentral:sRNA from 1 species